GAGGGGUGCCAUAGUAGCAAUACUAUGGUGACCGGCGGACGGGUGCGUAACAUGUACGCAACCUACCUCUUACAGGAGGAUAGCUCUCGGAAACGGGAAUUAAUACUCCAUAAUAUUCUAUUAGGGCAUCCUAAUAGGAUUAAAGCCGGAAGGCGGUAAGAGAUGGGCGUGCGGCUGAUUAGCUAGUUGGUAGGGUAACGGCCUACCAAGGCUAUGAUCGGUAGGGGAACUGAGAGGUUGGUCCCCCACACGGGCACUGAGACACGGGCCCGACUCCUACGGGAGGCAGCAGUAAGGAAUAUUGGACAAUGGGCGGAAGCCUGAUCCAGCCAUGCCGCGUGCAGGAAGAAGGCCCUAUGGGUUGUAAACUGCUUUUGCAGGGGAGAAAUAAGGUUGAUUUAUCGACCGAUGAUAGUACUCUGCGAAUAAGCAUCGGCUAACUUCGUG
rnacentral:rRNA from 1 species